UGAGUGUGUGCAGGUGCAAGUGUGUGGGUGUGGGUGUUGGUGUGAUGUCAAUCGUAUCAAUAGUAGUAAUAAUAAAGAACAAUAGUACUAAAAAGAGACAGGAGAACAAAAAUGAGCGACAUCGCUUUUUAAUCCUUCGAUGUCGGUUCUUCGUAUCAUUGCGAAGCAGAAUUCGCAAAGCGUUGGAUUGUUCACACACUAACAGGGAACGUGAGCUGGAAUUAGACCUUCGUGAGACAGGUUAGUUUAUCCCACCGAUG
rnacentral:ncRNA from 1 species